UUAAAAAUGUGGUACCAAUUAUUGGUACUAAUUAAUCAUCUACCUUUGUGAAUUUGUUUGUAUGAAUUUUUUUAAAUGGGUCUUUCCCUAAGUUGGAUUGUUAGUAAAUACAAAAAGACUUAGGGGAAUGAUUUUUAAAAGACUUUUUUUUAAUUAAACUUUUUGUAUUCAUUUGUCUAAAAUUUAUUUUUAUAAUAUAAAACAACUUUUGACAAUGGAUCUCUUGGUUCUCGCAACGAUGAAGAACGCAGCAAAAUGCGAUAAGUAGUGUGAAUUGCAGAAUACGUGAAUCAUCGAAUCUUCGAACGCAUAUUGCACUUUUUUAGUUUACUAAAAAGUAUGUCUGUUUGAGUAUCAGUAAAAUAUUCUCACAAACAUAUAUUGUUUGUGGUUAUGAGUGUUUUACAACGAUAAACAAGUUGUUUCACUUUGAAUUCUUUUUAAUUGAAUUUUUACCAAUUCAUAAAUUAAAAUUGGAUAAAAUUUUCUUUAACGAGGAAUAACUAAACAAUUUUAAAUUUUAUGGAUUAAUAAACAUUCAUCAAAGGAAUCUAAUUAUACAUAAAUAACUUGAUCUCAAAUCAGAUAAGAGUACCCGCUGAACUUAAGCAUAUCAAUAAGCGGAGGAAAAGAAACUAACAAGGAUUCCUUAGUAACGGCGAGUGAAGCGGGAAGAGCUCAAAUUUGAAUCUUCAAGGUUUGACCUUGACGAAUUGUAGUUUAUAGAAGUGUUUUCUGUUGGAGUUUUGGUAAAAGUUCUUUGGAAUAGGAAUCAUAGAGGGUGAGAAUCCCGUAUUUGACCAUGACUUUCCAGCUGUGUGAUACACUUUCAAGAGUCGGAUUGUUUGGGAAUGCAGUCCAAAAUGGUGGUAAAUUUCAUCUAAAGCUAAAUAUUGGCGAGAGACCGAUAGCGAACAAGUACCGUGAGGGAAAGAUGAAAGAACUUUGAAAAGAGAGUUAACAGUACGUGAAAUUGUCAAAGGAAGCGUUUGACACCAGUGUUGUUUCUCGAAAUCAAUUUAAUGAGUUUUUGUUUUUAAGUUAUUGUGACUUUAUCAGCGCAUUUCUUAUUUACUUACUCAUUGAAUGCACUUUUCGUUUAACAAGUCAACAUCAAUUUCUUUGGUGGUAAAAAGUUUAAAGGAAGGUGCUUGGACUUCGGUUCAAGUGUUUAUAGCCUUUUUUCUAUGCCAUCGGAGAUUGAGGUCUGCAGCGUAGAUCCUUCGGUUAGAUACCUUUGUGCUAAGUUAUAGUUUUUUAUAGACAACUUGUUGACUAUAAUUAACCCUGUAAUUUACUCGCUUAGGCUAUUUUACCUACGCUUAGGAUGUUGAG
rnacentral:misc_RNA from 1 species